CUUAACCUUAACCUUUCUUUUCAUCCCAUGAAAUGAUUUGCGAGUGAGGCCUCUUCUUGAUAAUGUUAUAGAUUGUGAAAUCUUGAGAGAAUCGAGAACGACAAGGUAUUAGCUCUUGUUUUAGCUAGUAUUUGGAAAUUUUUGAGCUAGCUAUUAGGUAGGGAAUGAAAAAGUUAGGUGGUUAGAUUGUACAUUUGGGUUGGAUUUGGGAGAAAGAAGAAAAAGAAAAGGUUGAAGAUGAAAGGCUUGAUCAUUGAGUUUAAAAGGAGUCCCAAGGGAAUUAAAGUCAUAAGAAAAGAAGCUCUAGUAUCUAAGUAAAAGAAAGAACGAAAUGGGCAAGAUAGUCCCCAAAAGAAAAGUCUUGCAAAGGAUGAGAAAGAAGGUGGGAUUAAAUAAGAGCUUAGUGUUUAAAGAAAAGGUUCACUAGGUGGCUAAUGAAUAAUAAUGUCUUGAUCAUGAGGGUUGUGUUUUGAUAAGAAAAGAGACCAAAAGUGUCCAAUGUGUAUGGUUUGAAAAGAAAAAGAAAAAGGUUUGCAAAGGGUAGAGAUUAGGAUCUUAUAUCUAAGAUGGGUAGAACAACAAG
rnacentral:lncRNA from 1 species